rnacentral:rRNA from 1 species
CAGCCGUAAACUAUGCGCGUUAGGUGUGCUGGUGACCACGUGUCACCGGGGUGCCGAAGGGAAACCGUGAAACGUGCCGCCUGGGAAGUACGGUCGCAAGGCUGAAACUUAAAGGAAUUGGCGGGGGGAGCACCACAACGGGUGGAGCCUGCGGUUUAAUUGGACUCAACGCCGGAAAUCUCACCGGAUAGGACAGACAAAUGAUAGUCGGGCUGAAGACUCUACUUGAUGAUCUGAGAGGUGGUGCAUGGCGUCAGUGACU